GUAGGUGAACCUGCGGAAGGAUCAUUACCGAGUCAGGGUCUCUCAGGCCCGAAACUCCAACCCUGUGUCUAUUUACCACGUUGCUUUGGCGGGCCCGCCUUAACCGGCCGCUGGAGAUAUUGUCUCUCGCCAGUGCCCGUCAGUAGCCCCCCCACAAAUUCUUUAUCACAGUGAUGUCUGAGUACAAAUAUAAUAGUUAAAAAACUUUCAACAACGGAUCUCUUGGUUCUGGCAUCGAUGAAGAACGCAG
rnacentral:misc_RNA from 1 species